rnacentral:tRNA from 1 species
GGAGCGAUGGCCGAGAGGCUGAAGGCACCGGUUUGCUAAACCGACAUACGGGUUUACGCCUGUAUCGAGGGUUCGAAUCCCUCUCGCUCCG